rnacentral:rRNA from 1 species
CGAGGGCGAGCAUAACGAAAGCUUGCUUUGUGAUGGCGACCGGCGCACGGGUGAGUAACGCGUAUCCAACCUUCCCCAUAGUAGAGAAUAGCCCGGCGAAAGUCGGAUUAAUGCUCUAUGUUGUAUCAUGAGGACAUCUGAAUAAUACCAAAGGUUCACCGCUAUGGGAUGGGGAUGCGUCUGAUUAGGUUGUUGGCGGGGUAACGGCCCACCAAGCCCACGAUCAGUAGGGGUUCUGAGAGGAAGGUCCCCCACAUUGGAACUGAGACACGGGCCAGACUCCUACGGGAGGCAGCAGUGAGGAAUAUUGGUCAAUGGCCGAGAGGCUGAACCAGCCAAGUAAGCGUGCAGGACGACGGCCCUACGGGUUGUAAACUGCUUUUGCGGGAGGAUAAAGGACGUCACGUGUAACGUUUUGCAGGUAUCCCGUGAAUAAGGACCGGCUAAUUCCGUGCCAGCAGCGGC